rnacentral:rRNA from 1 species
CUAAGAAUAUUCCGCAAUGGACGGAAGUCUGACGGAGCGACGCCGCGUGGAUGACGAAGGCCGAAAGGUUGUAAAGUCCUUUUGCUGGGGAAGAAUAACCGCAGGAGGGAAUGCCUGUGGGAUGACAAGAACCGGCGAAUAAGCCCCGGCCAACUACGUGCCAGCAGCCGCGGUAACACGUAGGGGGCGAGCGUUGUUCGGAAUUACUGGGCGUAAAGGGCAUGUAGGCGGCUUGGAAAGCCUGGCGUGAAAGUCUGCAGCUUAACUGCAGGGGUGCGCUGGGAACUGCUGAGCUUGAGUGACGGAGAGGGAGCUGGAAUUCCUGGUGUAGGGGUGAAACCUGUAGAUAUCAGGAAGAACACCGAUGGCGAAGGCAAGCUCCUGGCCGAUGACUGACGCUGAGGUGCGAAAGUGUGGGGAUCAAACAGGAUUAGAUACCCUGGUAGUCCACACAGUCAACGAUGUGCACUAGGUGCUGGGGCGGUAGCUUCGGUGCCGGAGCGAACGUGGUAAGUGCACCGCCUGGGGGGAGUAUGCUCGCAA